rnacentral:ncRNA from 1 species
GUGUAUCGCCAGGGGUGCCUGCCCCGGACGGGCGGGCUGAGAUCACACCCUCCGAACCUGAACCGGUUAGCGCCGGCGUAGGGAGGCGAAUCUGUUCACCU